AUGUUAUCUUGGCAUAUUUUGCAGAAAGGUACCAAGAGGGUGCAAUUUGUCAGGAACUUGAUUAGGGAGGUUGCUGGAUUCGCUCCCUAUGAGAAACGUAUCACUGAGCUUCUUAAGGUUGGAAAGGACAAGCGUGCACUCAAGGUCGCCAAGAGAAAGCUUGGUACUCACAAGAGAGAAAAGAAGAAGAGAGAGGAGAUGUUAAGUGUCCUUACGAAGAUGAGGUGUGUAACCACUCUGACUCACCAUUUAUAUUAUGAACAUUAUUUUUCUGACCAUGUUCAUUAG
rnacentral:rRNA from 1 species